GCUACCAUCUGUGGGAUUGUGACUG
rnacentral:piRNA from 1 species